CCAAAAUGGUUGUCAAGAUGUCAAUGAAUGCGUGAUUUCACAACCUUGCGUUGGAAUAUGUACGAACUUGCCGGGAACGUAUAAUUGUUCAUGUCCAGAGGGUUCCCAAGGAGAUGGAAGAAAAGAUGGCAAGGGUUGUACUCCUAUCAUCCAUGAAAAUAGGUUUCGCUCAAACAACAUCGUUCUAGGUGUGAGCAUAAGCUUCCUGCUGGUUCUUUUGGUCAUUUCCUGGUUAUAUUGGGGGCUGAGAGAAAGAAAAAUCAGCAGACAGAGAGAGAAGUUCUUCCUAGAAAAUGGGG